GUCGGUUUUCCUAUACGAAAUCUCCAAUAGCUUUUUGUAGUGGGGCUAGAUCUGAUUUUAGGAGUUUAAUGGGUAGUGCCUGGAAGAGGAACAAUAUACAGGGAAAUACAUUCAUUUUUACCGCAUGAAUACGUCCGAUCCAAGAAAUGGGUUUAUCUAGCCGUUUUUCCAUAUCCUGCAUCAGUGUUCGUAUCAGCAGUGCGUAAUUCAGUUGAUAUAUUUUGGUCGGAUCGCUCAGUAAUUGUAUCCUUAGAUAUUUUAUGUGGCCCCUUGCAAAGGGGAUGCCAUGAUUUGCUCAUAGUGCCGCCGUGUCCGCUGCAGACAGGCCCAUCGGCAGAGCGCUGAAUUUUUCUGAAUUGGCCUAGUAGCCCGAGAAAGCUGCAAAUUGUGAGAGGACUGCCUGUAGGGCGCCCAUGGAUUCUUUCGGGUUUGUCAGUGUCAGGAGAACGUCGUCCGCAUAAGCGGAUACGAGGAAUUCCUGUCCUCCC